rnacentral:rRNA from 1 species
UGGUGGAGUGAUUUGUCUGGUUAAUUCCGUUAACGAACGAGACCUCGACCUGCUAAAUAGUUUGGCGAAUUCUCUGUGGAUUCGCACAUAACUUCUUGAAGUUCGAGACAAUAACA